rnacentral:rRNA from 1 species
UACGAAGGUCCCAAGCGUUAUCCGGAAUUAUUGGGCGUAAAGCGCAUGUAGGCGGUUUGUUAAGUCUGGUGUGAAAGCUCAAGGCCUAACCUCGAAAUUGCAUUGGAAACUGGCAAACUAGAAUACUGGAGGGGUAAGUGGAAUUCCAUGUGUAGCGGUGGAAUGCGUAGAUAUAUGGAGGAACACCAAUGGCGAAGGCAGCUUACUGGACAGUUAUUGACGCUGAGAUGCGAAAGCGUGGGGAGCAAACAGG